rnacentral:rRNA from 1 species
UACGAAGGGGGCUAGCGUUGCUCGGAAUUACUGGGCGUAAAGCGCACGUAGGCGGCUUUCUAAGUCGGGGGUGAAAUCCUGGAGCUCAACUCCAGAACUGCCUUCGAUACUGGAGAGCUUGAGUCCGGGAGAGGUGAGUGGAACUGCGAGUGUAGAGGUGAAAUUCGGUAGAAUAUUCGCAAGAACACCAGUGGCGAAAGGCGGCUCACUGGCC